rnacentral:rRNA from 1 species
AUACGGAGGGUGCAAGCGUUAAUCGGAAUUACUGGGCGUAAAGCGCGCGUAGGCGGUUUGAUCAGUCGGAUGUGAAAGCCCUGGGCUCAACCUGGGAACUGCAUUCGAUACUGUCAGACUAGAAUAUGGUAGAGGGUAGUGGAAUUCCUGGUGUAGCGGUGAAAUGCGUAGAUAUCAGGAGGAACAUCAGUGGCGAAGGCGGCUACCUGGACCAAUAUUGACGCUGAGGUGCGAAAGCGUGGGUAGCAAACGGGAUUAGAAACCCCAGUAGUCC